GACGAACGCUGGCGGCGUGCUUAACACAUGCAAGUCGAACGGUGAAGCGAGUGCUUGCACUCGUGGAUCAGUGGCGAACGGGUGAGUAACACGUGAGUAACCUGCCCAUCACUCUGGGAUAAGCACUGGAAACGGUGUCUAAUACUGGAUACGACCAACCCUUGCAUGGGGUGUUGGUGUAAAGAUUUAUCGGUGAUGGAUGGACUCGCGGCCUAUCAGCUUGUUGGCGGGGUAAUGGCCCACCAAGGCGACGACGGGUAGCCGGCCUGAGAGGGUGACCGGCCACACGGGGACUGAGAGACGGCCCAGACUCCUACGGGAGGCAGCAGUGGGGAAUAUUGCACAAUGGGCGAAAGCCUGAUGCAGCGACGCCGCGUGAGGGAUGACGGCCUUCGGGUUGUAAACCUCUUUCAGCAGGGAAGAAGCGAAAGUGACGGUACCUGCAGAAGAAGCACCGGCUAACUACGUG
rnacentral:rRNA from 1 species